rnacentral:misc_RNA from 1 species
UCAAGUUUUAAAGUGCAGAAGAAUCAACAAUUGAACCAGGAGAACACAGUGUUAUUUUAUUGGAUGACAAUAAAAAGGUUGAAAUGAAAAUUUCCAUUCUUUUCUUCUCAUCUCUAGAAACAUCAGAACGUAUAAAAUCAAUCAACAGCAAUUGAGAGACUUUUUAAAUUUAGUAGGAAUAAAGGAACUUGAAAAAUUUUCAAUUUCCAUCUUCUUUGUUCCCUUGGAUAGAUUCUUCAAGCUUUUCUUCCUCAGCUUCAUUAGCUUCUUUAGCCUCUUUUCCUCCAAGAAGUUCUUCAACAUGUGAAGACUCAAAAAUCAAAUCUUCCGAUUCUUCAAGUUCAGACUCUUCAAAAUGCUCUUUUUGUUCUUCAACUCCAUCUUCAAGCUGCUUUUCGGAUUCAAGCUGCUCUUUUUGUUCAAAUAUACCAUAUUGGCAUAUAGAGGCAGUUGUUUCACUAUAAUCACCAUAAGAAAAACCCCAAGAUUUCACAGCAUGUUGCAAGGAAGGCCUUACCUUGUUAACACAUCUUACAAGUACUCUUUCUCCUAGCUUAAAGGAACAGGAAAAACU